rnacentral:rRNA from 1 species
AAAAGGUGGCUAUGCUACCGCUUUUGGAUGGGCCCGCGGCGCAUUAGCUAGUUGGUGGGGUAAAGGCUUACCAAGGCAAUGAUGCGUAGCCGAACUGAGAGGUUGAUCGGCCACAUUGGGACUGAGACACGGCCCAAACUCCUACGGGAGGCAGCAGUAGGGAAUCUUCCACAAUGGGCGAAAGCCUGAUGGAGCAACGCCGCGUGGGUGAAGAAGGUCUUCGGAUCGUAAAACCCUGUUGUUAGAGAAGAAAGUGCGUGAGAGUAACUGUUCACGUUUCGACGGUAUCUAACCAGAAAGCCACGGCUAACUACGUGCCAGCAGCCGCGGUAAUACGUAGGUGGCAAGCGUUAUCCGGAUUUAUUGGGCGUAAAGGGAACGCAGGCGGUCUUUUAAGUCUGAUGUGAAAGCCUUCGGCUUAACCGGAGUAGUGCAUUGGAAACUGGGAGACUUGAGUGCAGAAGAGGAGAGUGGAACUCCAUGUGUAGCGGUGAAAUGCGUAGAUAUAUGGAAGAACACCAGUGGCGAAAGCGGCUCUCUGGUCUGUAACUGACGCUGAGGUUCGAAAGCGUGGGUAGCAAACAGGAUUAGAUACCCUGGUAGUCCACGCCGUAAACGAUGAAUGCUAAGUGUUGGAGG